CAGUCGCCGCGGUAAUACGUAGGUGGCAAGCGUUGUCCGGAAUUAUUGGGCGUAAAGGGCUCGUAGGCGGUUUCUUAAGUCUGAUGUGAAAGCCCCCGGCUCAACCGGGGAGGGUCAUUGGAAACUGGGAAACUUGAGUGCAGAAGAGGAGAGUGGAAUUCCACGUGUAGCGGUGAAAUGCGUAGAGAUGUGGAGGAACACCAGUGGCGAAGGCGACUCUCUGGUCUGUAACUGACGCUGAGGAGCGAAAGCGUGGGGCGCAAACAGGAUUAGAUACCCCAGUAGUCCCUGUCUCUUAUAC
rnacentral:rRNA from 1 species